AGCGUUGCUCGGAAUCACUGGGCGUAAAGCGCACGUAGGCGGAUUGUUAAGUCAGGGGUGAAAUCCGGGAGCUCAACUCCAGAACUGCCUUUGAUACUGGCGAUCUUGAGUCCGGGAGAGGUGAGUGGAACUGCGAGUGUAG
rnacentral:rRNA from 1 species